AUGCCGGUAUGAGUAGCGAAAGACGGGUGAGAAUCCCGUCCACCGUAUGACUAAGGUUUCCUGGGGAAGGCUCGUCCUCCCAGGGUUAGUCGGGACCUAAGCCGAGACCGAAAGGUGUAGGCGAUGGACAACAGGUUGAGAUUCCUGUACUUGUUUGUAUUGUUUGACCAAAGGAAGGACGCAGGAGGCUAAGCAGAGCACGUUAUUGGAUUCGUGUUCAAGCAGUGAGUCUGACACAGAGUGAAAUGCUUCGUGUUAAAGACAAGCUGUGAUGAGGAGGGAAAUAUAGUACCGAAGCUGCUGACGUCACACUGCCAAGAAAAGUUUCUAGUUAGAUACAAACAACCCGUACCGCAAACCGACACAGGUAGUCGAGGAGAGCAUCCUAAGGUGAGCGAGCGAACUCUCGUUAAGGAACUCGGCAAAAUAACCCCGUAACUUCGGGAGAAGGG
rnacentral:rRNA from 1 species